rnacentral:rRNA from 1 species
UACGUAGGGCGCAAGCGUUAUCCGGAAUUAUUGGGCGUAAAGGGCGCGUAGGCGGAAAUGUAAGUCAGGUGUGAAAUACCAAAGCUCAACUUUGGUGCUGCAUUUGAAACUAUAUUUCUAGAGGACUGACGGAGAAAGCGGAAUUCCACGUGUAGCGGUGAAAUGCGUAGAUACGUGGAGGAACACCGGUGGCGAAAGCGGCUUUCUAGUUUUUACCUGACGCUGAGGCGCGAGAGCAAGGGGAGCAAACAGG